GGGGUGGGGCACGGACAGGGCAAAGAUCAGAAGUCGAGAAGAGAGCUGUAACACUGGCUGUGCUGAGCCUGCUGGCUGAAUAAAGGCAGUUCUCCGACUCUUCGCGUGCCACUUGGUUCUUUCCCUGUCAGGUGCUGUAGCACUAGCUGUUCACAUUGCCAUAACACAAUCAAACGCUAAAGAUGCGCCAUGUCAGGACGCCGGACGUGCCAGGAGGAGGAAUAAAGCAGAGUCGCCAAGGGAGCCUCUGGCUGCUGUGUGGAUAAUGAAUCCUAGAAGCUGGGCCGGCAGGGAGCCCGCAGAACCCAUGCAGAGAGACAGGAUCUCACUCUUGCUCUGGCUAGUCCGUAUGCAUUAGCCCUGAGGGCCUGCAUAUGGAGCCAGCCAGCAUCAGCUCCCAGACAUGAGAAAGAGCCAGCCCUCAUGUGAUUCUGUCCCCAGCCUUCAGGCUACGAAGAAGGAGCCCAGAAGUCCCCAUCCAGGACUACUGUGGCUCCCCCGUGACGACAGGCACUCGGGCUUCUUUCACCUUCUAGAAUUGCUGUCCUCAGUAUGUGGCUUCCACCUCAUCAUCCAAGGUGGCUACUCAAACUGCUGCCAUCACAUCAGCAUUCCCACUGGAUGAAAAAAAGAAGAAUAUGUCCUUUUCUUUGAAGAUGCUUGCUGGAAGUUGUUUCUUUCUGGAACUGGCAUCACCAUUUCUGCCUACACCUCAUUGGCCAGAACUCAGUGCCAUGGGAGUCUGGGAAAUGUAGUUUUUUUAUCUUGGGCAAUCAUGUGUCUGCCUGGAAUUACAGGGUUCUUUUGCUAAAGGGUCAAACAGAUAUUGGGGGACAAAUAGGAGUCUCAGGCACAGUUUCCCGUUGCUGUUUGGAUAAAGUAGGAACUUACUGUUACGCUCAGCAAGGUCCUCACUGAUCUAGUCACUGCUUGGUCUCUGGUCUCGUCUCUCAUUUCUUUUUCUUUUUUUAGCAUGAAAAUGAGGUUUAUUGAGGAAGAGCAAGAUAGGUUUAUGGAGCAAGAUCAAGAUACAUUCGCCACAGACAAUGAAUGGGUCCCAUGUCAUAACAAGAGGCCUCAUCUCUGGUUUCUUAUUCAUACUGUUUUAUCUCUGUUUUCCUACUUUAAUUUUCUCUAAUGGGUGCAGCUCCAACCCACCUCAGUGCCUUUGCUGGGAUUUAAGAAUCCUAGAUUAGGCCCUCUGUCCCCACGAUAUAUUAUUUCUAAUAACUUCCCAUACCUCCUCUUUGUAGCACCUACACAAUUACAUUUAUAAAUGAUUUAUGUUAUGAUUGCUUUAUAACUCUCUUUCCCACUAACCUAUAGGUUGUCUGAGUGCAAAGACUUUGUUCAUUCAUGUCUGUAUUCCCAGUAUCAAACAUGGCAUUUGGCACAAAUUAGGUAUUUAAAAAGUCUUUGCUGGAUAAUUGAAUGAACUUUCUAAAGGAACUCUCUCACUUUACAAAUGAGGUAAUAAUUUAAUCGAGUCCUCAAAGAAUCUGUAUUCUAUAAUAGUUUCUUGAGUGAGUUGGUUAAAAUGAAGGUUUCAACUCCUGUUGAGAAUCUUUCUGAAACGUUCUGGUCUAAUUUCCUGUCUCUUAGCAAAGACAAUGGAUCACAUACUGUUUACUCCUCCUCUGAUGGUCAGGAUCCUACGUGCCUGAGGGUCAACAUGAUAACUACUGAUCAGCACUGACCAAAACCACAGCUGCAGAACAGGAAAGAAAUCAUGAGGAGUCUGUGUGAUUCUGGGAUACAGCCUGGAAAGUUCCUUUAAACAAAUGUGCUCAACAUUAACUGGUUUUCUUUUCAAUUGCCUCUUUCUCCCAAAAGUAGUGUGCCCAAAAAUUUGGAUGAUCGUGUUUCCCAGUUGACAGAGAAUUAAUUUUAUUUGGGAAUUGUCACCCUUGUUUUGAAAGAAAAAAAUAACUUUUUAAAAAGUGUCAGUCACACAUUGGAGCUAUGAAUGACAGUCAUGUCUGUGUUCAACAAUUCCUUUUUUGAAAACAGUGGAGGGAAAACAGCAUUAUUUCUUGUUGUCCUGAUUUUUAAAUAUCAUCUGCUAGAAUCACUAUGAAGGAGGGAGGCCAGGAAGAAGGAAGAUGAUCUUUGGAAUACCCUGAAUUCCAGUGAUGGCCCAGAAGUUUGCAGAAUGUCAUGAUUUAGGGAUGUAAGUUGUUUUGAAAACUGUGAGUCUCAGUUUUCCAGGGCUAUGGGACUUUGAUGGAUUGAAGAAACAGAAUCUUUACAUUUGUCACAGGCUUCUUACACUAGAGUACUUUUUUGGCAUUUGUCCGACAUUUUAAUUUA